GAUGAACGCUGGCGGCGUGCCUAAUACAUGCAAGUCGAGCGAACAGACGAGGAGCUUGCUCCUCUGACGUUAGCGGCGGACGGGUGAGUAACACGUGGAUAACCUACCUAUAAGACUGGGAUAACUUCGGGAAACCGGAGCUAAUACCGGAUAAUAUAUUGAACCGCAUGGUUCAAUAGUGAAAGACGGUUUUGCUGUCACUUAUAGAUGGAUCCGCGCCGCAUUAGCUAGUUGGUAAGGUAACGGCUUACCAAGGCAACGAUGCGUAGCCGACCUGAGAGGGUGAUCGGCCACACUGGAACUGAGACACGGUCCAGACUCCUACGGGAGGCAGCAGUAGGGAAUCUUCCGCAAUGGGCGAAAGCUUGACGGAGCAACGCCGCGUGAGUGAUGAAGGUCUUCGGAUCGUAAAACUCUGUUAUUAGGGAAGAACAAAUGUGUAAGUAACUAUGCACGUCUUGACCGUACCUAAUCAGAAAGCCACGGCUAACUACGUG
rnacentral:rRNA from 1 species